rnacentral:rRNA from 1 species
GAUGAACGCUAGCUACAGGCUUAACACAUGCAAGUCGAGGGGAAACGAUAGAGAAAGCUUGCUUUUUCUAGGCGUCGACCGGCGCACGGGUGAGUAACGCGUAUCCAACCUGCCCACCACUUGGGGAUAACCUUGCGAAAGUAAGACUAAUACCCAAUGAUAUCUCAAGAAGACAUCUGAAUGAGAUUAAAGAUUUAUCGGUGAUGGAUGGGGAUGCGUCUGAUUAGCUUGUUGGCGGGGUAACGGCCCACCAAGGCGACGAUCAGUAGGGGUUCUGAGUGGAAGGUCCCCCCACAUUGGAACUGAGACACGGGCCAAACUCCUACGGGAGGCAGCAGUGAGGAAUAUUGGCCAAUGGGCGAGAGCCUGAACCAGCCAAGUAGCGUGCAGGAUGACGGCCCUAUGGGUUGUAAACUGCUUUUAUAAGGGAAUAAAGUGAGUCUCGUGAGACUUUUUGCAUGUACCUUAUGAAUAAGGACCGGCUAAUUCCGUGCCAGCAGCCGCCGCGG